UACGUAGGGGGCAAGCGUUGUCCGGAAUCAUUGGGCGUAAAGAGCGUGUAGGCGGCCUGAUAAGUCGGCUGUGAAAGUCAAGGGCUCAACCCUUGAAUGCCGGCCGAUACUGUCAGGCUAGAGUCCGGAAGAGGCGAGUGGAAUUCCUGGUGUAGCGGUGAAAUGCGCAGAUAUCAGGAGGAACACCGGUGGCGAAGGCGGGUCUCUGGGCCGAUACUGACGCUGAGGAGCGAAAGCGUGGGGAGCGAACAGG
rnacentral:rRNA from 1 species